rnacentral:rRNA from 1 species
GACGAACGCUGGCGGCGUGCUUAACACAUGCAAGUCGAGCGGAAAGGCCACUUCGGUGGUACUCGAGCGGCGAACGGGUGAGUAACACGUGAGUAAUCUGCCCCUGGCUUUGGGAUAGCCACCGGAAACGGUGAUUAAUACCGGAUAUGACCAUCUUUCGCAUGAUUGGUGGUGGAAAGUUUUUCGGCCAGGGAUGUGCUCGCGGCCUAUCAGCUUGAUGGUGAGGUAAUGGCUCACCAUGGCUUCGACGGGUAGCCGGCCUGAGAGGGUGACCGGCCACACUGGGACUGAGACACGGCCCAGACUCCUACGGGAGGCAGCAGUGGGGAAUAUUGGACAAUGGGCGGAAGCCUGAUCCAGCAACGCCGCGUGAGGGAUGACGGCCUUCGGGUUGUAAACCUCUUUCAGCAGGGACGAAGCGCAAGUGACGGUACCUGCAGAAGAAGCACCGGCCAACUACGUGCCAGCCGCCGCGGUAAAAC